UACGAAGGGGGCUAGCGUUGCUCGGAAUCCCUGGGCGUAAAGCGCACGUAGGCGGCUUUGUAAGUCAGUGGUGAAAUAUGGCAGCUCAACUGUCAAGGUGCCAUUGAUACUGCGGAGCUUGAGUACAGAUGAGGUAGGCGGAAUUGACGGUGUAGCGGUGAAAUGCUUAGAUAUCGUCAAGAACACCUAUAGCGAAGGCAGCUUACUAGGCUGUAACUGACGCUGAGGCACGAAAGUGUGGGGAUCAAACAGG
rnacentral:rRNA from 1 species